GACGAACGCUGGCGGCGUGCCUAAUACAUGCAAGUAGAACGCACAGUUUAUACCGUAGCUUGCUACACCAUAGACUGUGAGUUGCGAACGGGUGAGUAACGCGUAGGUAACCUGCCUGGUAGCGGGGGAUAACUAUUGGAAACGAUAGCUAAUACCGCAUAAUAUUAAUUAUUGCAUGAUAAUUAAUUGAAAGGUGCAAUUGCACCACUACCAGAUGGACCUGCGUUGUAUUAGCUAGUAGGUGAGGUAACGGCUCACCUAGGCGACGAUACAUAGCCGACCUGAGAGGGUGAUCGGCCACACUGGGACGGAGACACGGCCCAGACUCCUACGGGAGGCAGCAGUAGGGAAUCUUCGGCAAUGGACGAAAGUCUGACCGAGCAACGCCGCGUGAGUGAAGAAGGUUUUCGGAUCGUAAAGCUCUGUUGUAAGAGAAGAACGGGUGUGAGAGUGGAAAGUUCACACUGUGACGGUAUCUUACAAGAAAGGGACGGCUAACUACGUG
rnacentral:rRNA from 1 species